rnacentral:misc_RNA from 1 species
AACAGUUCCAAAAUCAAGUCGGUUAAUAGGGAGUAUUUGAUAAGUAUUUCUCAACCCUUAGGGUUAAGUGUUUUUUCCCAAUAUAUAUCUUGGGGUGGGUGGUGUGACUUCUGAUUUUAAUCUAUUCUUGGUUUGGGGUUUUGUUUAAAUCUUGUUUGCUGAGUUGUUGUUGAUCAAUUGGGGAAUUUUCUUGGGACAAGUUCAAGAAAGUUUGUUUUUUUAGAUGAUGGGAAGUUCUUGAAUUUUAAGGUGUGUUAAGUAUUUGGAUUGUGG